GCCUGGGUAGCUCAGUGGUAUAGAGCUCCUGACUAUCUAAAGUUGCAGGGGUCCUGGGUUCGAUUCUCCGUCCAGCCA
rnacentral:tRNA from 1 species